rnacentral:ncRNA from 1 species
GCACCUCGAUGUCGGCUCAUCACAUCCUGGGGCUGAAGUAGGUCCCAAGGGUACGGCUGUUCGCCGUUUAAAGUGGUACGCGAGCUGGGUUUAGAACGUCGUGAGACAGUUCGGUCCCUAUCUGCCGUGGGCGCUGGAGAAUUGAGGGGGGUUGCUCCUAGUACGAGAGGACCGGAGUGAACGCACCACUGGUGUUCGGGUUGUCAUGCCAAUGGCACUGCCCGGUAGCUAAGUGCGGAAAAGAUAAGUGCUGAAAGCAUCUAAGCACGAAACUUGCCCCGAGAUGAGUUCUCCCUGACUCCUUGAGAGUCCUGAAGGGACGUUGAAGACUACGACGUUGAUAGGCCGGGUGUGUAAGCGCAGCGAUGCGUUGAGCUAACCGGUACUAAUGACCCGUGAGGCUUAACCUU